rnacentral:lncRNA from 1 species
AUGUAUGAGAUGUUCAGAAGUGCAAACCAGCAUAGAUUUAGGAAACUUUGUGAAAAACAAAUGAUGGGUCCAUUUUGAAUCCUGAAAAAAGGAAACCACUUCAGCAUUUCUCAUCUUUUGGGUCCAGCAUGACUGCUACUUUCUCAUAAGAGGACUGCCUUUGAUCCAUGUGAAGCUGAUGGCAUUGGUGCUGUUCUAGCAAGAAAUAUGAC